rnacentral:rRNA from 1 species
CCUACGGGAGGCAGCAGUGGGGAAUAUUGCUCAAUGGGCGAAACCCUGAUGCAGCGACGCCGCGUGAGUGAAGAAGUACCUCCGUAUGGAAAGCUCUAUCAGCAGGGAAGCAAAUGACGGUACGUGAUCAAGAAGCCCCGGCUAACUACGUACCAGCAGCCGCGGGAAUACGUAGGGGGCAAGCGUUAUCCGGAUUUACUGGGGGUAAAGGGAGCGUAAACGGGUGCAAAAGGCUGGAGUGAAAGGGUGGGGGUUAACCACGGACCUGCGGUUGAAACUGUGCAGCUUGAGUGCAGGAGAGGUAGGUGGAAUUCGUGGUGUAGCGGUGAAAUGCGUAGAUAUUACGAGGAACCCCAGUGGCGAAGGCGGCUUACUGGACUGUAACUGACGUUGAGGCUCGAAAGCGUGGGGAGCAAACAGGAUUAGAUACCCCGGUAGUC